AUUUAUAGACUUGAAGUUGCUUAAGUGUUCACACAAAUUGCUUGAUGAUUUUAUUGUUUAGAGAGACUGAUAUUUGUUCUUUAACAAUGUGGUAAAAAGUAUAAGUAAAGAUUCCUUGAUUAAUUUAGGGUUAUUUUUAUUUUCGAUUGAGAUGUAUUUUUAUGUUUUGAUUGAUAAAUGGGAAUAAUUUUUAGUUUAUUUAAUUAACGAGUCUUGGUAAUUUUUGAAAACCGGUGUUGAGAUAUAGUUUUGAUUGGUUUUAGUUAAUAGAUUUUAGAUUUAUUGAUAUAAGACUUUUUGGGGUUAUAUGA
rnacentral:misc_RNA from 1 species